GAGGAGGGGAAGGAAAGGGUGAGGGGGUGGGGAAGGGAACCGAGGAGAGAGCAGAGCCAGGAGCCGAGCACAGCGGCGACUGUGAGGGGGGGGGAGGGGGUAAAGGGAGGGAGAAGGAGUGAGAGUGGGGGAGCGGGAGGAGUGGUCAAGGAGGAGGAACAGACGCCGGCAGACUUCACCCCUCCCCCCACGCCUGGCUCUUCUCUUACACGCCAACUGGGUGCCUAAACCCUGGGUCCCACCUAUUAUGGUUCACUUCUGAAUAUUACAGGUUAAGAAGAACAUUGAUAAAUAUGGGAAGUAAUCAGGAUGGUCAAAAGCCUGGAGAAUGUGUUUGCUAUCAAGAAAAGCUGUCUAAAAGUAGUAUGGGCUGCCUCAAGGAAUAGUCAGUUCCUGCUCUUUGGAUGUGCUCCUGCUAAUGCUGGAUAUCCAUUUGUCAGAUGGCUCUCUUUAUCACAAGACCUUUGGAACUGGCCUGAAUCUUCUCAUUAUUGCAGAGAAUCAUGUCCAUCAGAAUUGAUCAUCUUAUAAUCUUGCUGUUGCCAUGUACAACACGGUUCUGCUCAUUUCACUUAUCAUCAGUUCAUCAUUCUCACCCUGGAAAAUCCCUCUGUCCCUCAGAUUCCCCACUUUGACUAAUGAGUCCUUCCUGAGCCUGCAUUUUGUGGAAGUAUGCAAGCAGCUAUGUAACUCUCCUUUUCACGCUUCUCCUUGUCCCCCUCUUGACUCUCCAGACUUCUUCAUCUGCCACUGUGGCCAUCUUUGGCUGGAAGAUCCUACUUCCAAAGAGAAAGGUCCAUCUGAAGCUCUACUAAUAAGAUGAAUGACAAUAGAAAUAAAUGCAAUUAUACUUGGAAUUAAGAAAAAAAUCAAUUUUAGUGUUUUCAGACAACAGUUUGUGUGAAAAAGAUCUGGGAAUUUCAAUGGAUAGCAAGGAGUUACCUGGAGACACUGAAGACAACUAAGUGACACAGUGGAUAGAAUGUCGUGCCUGAAGUGUGAUCCUAAGGCUGCCCAGGGAUCCAUUAUUAUUUGAGUUUGAUGCCACUGAAUUAUGCCAUGCUUCCUUUGUAACAUAGAAUAUAUAUGGAAAAUGCAUGAACAGAUGAAAGACACCUGUCAUGCUGUUUGGGAGCCAUUGACAACCAGUUGUGAGGAAAUUGAAGAGCUCUGAGAGUAAUGGGGAAAUCAUAUGGAAUAGUUCAACAAUAGUAUCUCUCCCUUCCCCCAUUCCACUGCUUGACACUUUUGUGCUGAAUUAGAGACAAAGCAAGAAAUGUCAUCCAUCUUCCAGUCUACUACAAGAGACUACAAGAGUCUACUACAAGAGAAAGAAAUUCCAGGAGGUAGAUGAUUCUUCACUCUAACAUUUACAAUUAGGAGGCAACUAGAAGGAGGAGAAUGUUUAACAAUACAAAUGCCAUAUUGACCCAAAAGAGGACCAAUGGGAGCAGAAUCAAGAGAAUAUUGUAUAUGGUGACAACAAUAAUGUGUGAUGAUCAACUUUGAUAGACUUAGCUCUUCUCAGCAAUGCAAUAAUUCAAGAUAAUUCCAAGGGAAUCAUGAUGGAAGAUGCUGAUCUUAUUCAAGGAGUCUGAAUGCAGCUCAAAGUAUACUAUUUUCACUUUUUUUUUUUUCUUCCUUGUGGUUUUUCCCUUUUGUUUUGAGUCUUCUUUUCAAAACAUGACUAACAUGGAAAUAUGUUUAACAUGAUUGUACAUAUUUAAUCUAUAUAAGAUUGCUUGCUGUCUUGGGGAGAAGGAAGUGAAGGGAGGGAAGGAGAAAAUUUUGGAGUUCAAAAUCUUAUAAAAGUGAAUAUGGAAAACUGUUUUUAUAUGUAAAUGAAAAAAUAUAAUACUAUUAAUUUAAAAACUACAUAUUCAUAUCAUCUAUACUGUUUUGUAUUUGUCUUAAUUAAACAAAAUAUUUACAAAUUACAUUUAAUCUGAUAACCCCAUAUUUAACAGCUCUGCUUUAUAACUCUAAUAAAAUGAUAAAGCCUAAAUCGAAAAGGAAAAAAUAAGACCACUGAAAUGUGAAAAAAAAAUCUAUGGAAGAGAACAGAAGGAAGUUCUGAAGGAAGCAAGGCAGUUUUGGAAACUUGUGAAAUUUAUACUUACUUUAAUAUGUUAUAUGAAAUGUAGUUUCAAGAUUCUGUAUACAAUUCUCAUUUUUAUGUUUUGCUGGACAUAUAGGAUAUUCCUUUUUUGAUGAUGAAUUUUUUAAUUCAAAGUAAAAAAAGAUCCCAGAUGGAAUAAAAUUUAAUUGGAGGGUACAAGCUCAAGUAAGAGAUUUUAAUCAAUGCAGUUUGAAAGUCAAUUUAACAUACAGAAGUCAAAGAUAAAGAUGAAUGUUAAUUUUUUGUUACCUUUUAUAUAAAAGGUUUUUAAUCUGGGGUCAUUAAAUUUGUUUUAUUAAAGAAAAUUGACAAUUGCAUUUCAAUAUAAUUGUUUACCUUU